rnacentral:piRNA from 1 species
UGGGCCAUUUGAUUGUCCUCUUUUGUGAAAU